GGCAUGGUAACUGAGUGGGUAAAGUGCUAUUUACUCGGUACCGAAUAUCGAUGGUUCGAAUCCAUCCCGGAGCAAGUUA